AUAUAUGGCAAACAUUCAAUGCCAACAGACAAACAACAUACAGUAUAGAGAGACACAGAGGCUUUUAACAUUUUUCCAGCUUCACGAUUCCGGCCACAGGGGGAGCUGUUGCUUCACCGUCCACUAGUGGCUGUACUUCCUCAUUCCUUUCCUCGUGUUUUGCUGGCAGUUUUAUGGUGUUGUAAAUUAGUUAAAUUAGCCUCCCGCAUAAAGCGUACCUAAAUUUCCCUACUUGAUAGAUGCAACUGUCUUUCGGGGCUGAAUAGGUCAACAGCAAGCCGGGCUAUUUAAUGGUUGGGGGCUUAACCCGACCCGGGCUUUGAACUCAUGACCUCUCAGUCAGUAGUGAUUUAUUGCAGCUGGUUACUAGCCAGCUGCGCCACAGCCCGGUAAUUACUGUAUUUACGAAUUUUGCACCAAAAUAUCACAAAGUAUUGAAAAUAUUGACUACAAAAAUGCAUUGGAUAAUCCAGAACGUUGGAUAAGCGAGUGUUGGAUAAGUGAGACUCUACUGUAUAACUACUAAAAUAAUGUAUAAAUAUUAAAAUAAAUAUAGUGUCCCUAUUUUGCAAUUUUUCACUUAUUGUGGGUGAUCCUGGAACCUAACCCCAGCUAUAAGUGAGGGAACACUGUAUCCUCCAAAUACAGAGGAAAUUUGAUUCCUUACUUUUGCAUUGUAUUAUCAAGACAGGAGCCAAAUUGAGCUGGGUGAGGGAUAAUGUGUGCUGAGUGAUGAAUGGAUGGUGGCACAGAAGGGAUAAUUGUAUGAUCAUCAUGGUACGGGUCAUCAUUGUUCUGUGCCAAUGGGAGAAACUGCUGUUGAUAUAGGUUGCCUCUGUUUGGGCAAAUUCAUAUAAUAUAAUCUAUAGAGAGAAAUAGGAAAUUGUGUACAUGUUUUGCUCUGAUUUCGGUGCCAAAGCCCUAUGGAAGUCUUGUAUGUGGAUAGGGUAAAGAUUCAAAGUAGAAACUUAGUAUGAUUUCCAUGAUCACAGAAGCACAAAAUUGCAUUGUAUCUGUGGAUCAACAUUUUUAAUUUGGAUGCACCAAUAAGCUUUAAACUGAUUUUUAUGACUUUGGGCAAUAAUUGCAAGGCAAGAUUCAUGGGAACCCCAUAGCAGAAAGUUUAAUUUUAUCUUGUCCUGACCAGCUUUACCUACACAAAUUUCCUUUUUCCCCCUCUUUUAUAUUUCCAUUAGAAGUCUUUCAAGGUUGAUCUUACUGUGAUGAAUGCGUGAAUUGAUGUCCAAAAUAACAACGGUGACAGGCAGACACUACUGGAUUGCUCCUUUUGUUUGAUAGAUGAAAUGGGCUCAUUUUGUAGCUAUUUAUUUAUUUACAGUAUUUAUACCCCGUCCUUCUCACCUCAAAGGGGACUCAGAGUGGCUUUCCAGAACACAUAUAUGGCAAACAUUCAAUCCCAAUGAUACAGUUAACAAGGACGGACAACACAGAAGAGGUAAAGGCCCUUUUUCCCGACUUAUUUCCAGCAUCUUUGGAGGCUGUGCUCGACUACAGCCACGGGUGUGUGUGUGUGUGUGUGCUGUCAUUCCAUUUUCCAUGCCGAGGAGCUUUCCUCCAAUCGAUGCCCUUAAGAGUGCCUUUUUAUUACCUUCCCACUAAAAGCAGUACCUAUUUAUCUGCUCGCAUUUCUGUUUUCAACCUGCUAGGUAUGCAGGUGAGCUGGGGCUAAUGGCGGGUGCUCACCCCAACCUGGGCUCGAACUGCUGUCCUUUCAAUCAAGUAAAAAUGAAUAAUCAUCAAUGUUUUACAUCAAGUACUUGGCUACACAUGCAUAACUGAGUAAUAUCUCCUAACCUGACCCAUCACCCUGAUCACUUUAAGAACCAGCAGCUAUAUUGGAGAAAGGAUUCAAUUCAUCUUCCAAUCCAGGCUAAAAGAGGACGAUAUCUCCAGCACCCCUCUCACCCUUGUGUACGGCGAUGAUAAGGACUUGAAUAGAGUUCCUGAUUCCAAGGAUUUUUAUGCAACCAUAUUUUUUUUCCUGCAGAGAAGUCUUGCAGUGGGUGACAUUUUCUCAGAACGGUGUCUUGAUGCAUUGAGACACCCUUUCCCAUUGAGGACGAGAACAUUUGUGAGUAUCCUUUCUAUGCCUAAUAGCUUCAAGGUGCCACUGCCAAUUUCAGCUGCUCCAGCUCAUCAAAUUAAACUGAAGUGAGGGCAAUUCCUGUGACUCCAAGGACACUGAAGGCAAAGGAGGAAAAGGCAAAUUGUGCCAAGAAAAAAAGGAGUCCUAAAUGCAAAAGACAAUGUUCAACACUCAAAUACUAAAUGAGCAAUUGUGAUUUAGCCCUGUAGAGGAAAAUUUGUUGAUUGGGGAAAUUUUUGGGCACAAUUGAAAGAAAUACAUGUUUUUUUGCCCAGUAGAAAGUCAUGGGAUUUUAAUUCAUACCAAUGGCUACCAUUUGGUUUGAUAGAAAUGAAACCUGUGUAUAUCCAGAUAUCUAUGUUACCAAUUCUGUUAAUUCAGAGUUUGUCCCAGUGAAACUUUGACAUAAUCAGUGUGAAGCCUGCAAUCUACAUCAGCCGAACUCCCCUUUUAAAAUUUAGACUUAUUCCUUCUCUUGAGGAACGUUAGAUAUGACCAUUAGUAGUAAAAUUUGAUUUUUAAAAAUUGAAGGUAUAUCCAUGCAGAUAGACUAACAGAAUCAUAAAAUCAUAGAGUUGACAUAUUGUUUAAUUCAAAAUUCCAACAUUUUUAUGGAAUUGCAGAAAUUUGUUGCAUAUUUCACAUGCUGAACACUUUGGAAAGGAUUUUUUUAAAAAUCUGUGACUGUGGGUUCUUUAAUCAUAACAAUGGUUUCAAUCAUUUCUGAAUUUGAAAAUAAGGAAAUGGGCCUCAUAUUAUUAGGUUGUGACAUUGUGUCUAGUAGUCCUAUUUUAUAAUAAGGCAACAGCCUUAGUUUGAAAAACCAUUGUGUUUGUGUAUUGGUGUGUCUUCCAGAAUGCAAGACUCAGCAUAGCAGAUAUGCUUGCUGACAAAAAACAUAGUUCUUAAGCUUUUGGGUGUUACCAAGCACUUUGGAAGUCUGAUGAAAGGUGUGUACCUGCUUCUGGAAAAAUACACAUACACAAUUUUCAAAAUAUCAAGAAGAAAUUCACAGGAAAAAGAAAUCAAUUGUUUUGCACUCCAGAGAUCACAUAGCCCACAGAAUGGAACUGGAAAGAACUGUAAAAUCACACUUAUUUUUAAAAUGGAUUUUUUUUUUUUUUGGCUAAAGUGAAGUUGGAGAAAAUUGCA